UACGUAGGGGGCUAGCGUUGUCCGGAAUCAUUGGGCGUAAAGCGCGUGUAGGCGGCUCGGAAAGUCGGGUGUGAAAGCCCCCGGCUCAACCGGGGAACGGCGCGGGAAACUAGCAGGCUUGAGUUCGGGAGAGGGAAGCGGAAUUCCGGGUGUAGCGGUGAAAUGCGCAGAUAUCGGGAGGAACACCAGUAGCGAAGGCGGCUCGCUGGGCCACACCUGACGCUGAGACGCGAAAGCUAGGGGAGCAAACGGG
rnacentral:rRNA from 1 species